GACGUAGGGCGCGAGCGUUGUCCGGAUUUAUUGGGCGUAAAGAGCUCGUAGGCGGUUCGUCGCGUCGGCUGUGAAAUCCCGAGGCUCAACCUCGGGUCUGCAGUCGAUACGGGCGGACUGGAGUUCGGCAGGGGAGACUGGAAUUCCUGGUGUAGCGGUGAAAUGCGGCAGAUAUCAGGAGGAACACCGGUGGCGAAGGCGGGUCUCUGGGCCGAUAACUGA
rnacentral:rRNA from 1 species